rnacentral:ncRNA from 1 species
UCUUUCUCCUCAGGGCCAUUCUCAAGUCAUUCUUUUACCAAUGGCAGGGAAGUUUUAUGCAAUAAAGUGAAUGACUAGGGAUCUUGGAGCUGAAAUGAUUUCAAUCUAUUCUCAGCCUUUAAGUGGGUAAGUUGCUCAGCUCACUGUUGUGGAGCUGGGCCAUGGAAUUGCACGAGUGGCUCAGUGGGCCACUUUUUGGUAAGAAGACCUGAUGCUGUGGAAUGAAUCA